GGGGUUGCGCACCAGAGGCUGGUUCUUGUGCCUCCUACCCGUCAUGGGGAAGCAGGACACUUGGAACGAAUCCGUCAUGCGCCUCCUGUUGGGCGCAUGAGGACGAUGAGGCGCCCCCGUGUUCCGUCGAACCCUUGUUGGUUGGGCGGCCCAUGGGGGGGCGCAAUGCUCUCUGACCCGGUGAACAUGGCGGACGAGGACYUCGGUCCAAGUCCUAGGUGAAAGCUUCUGCACGAUGUGUGACGGCCGUCCUCGCCACUUGCCCGCCUCGGCGUGCCAAGGGCGAAGGGGGGCGUCCCSAAGGGCCGCUACCUGGUUGAUCCUGCCAGUAGUCAUAUGCUUGUCU
rnacentral:misc_RNA from 1 species